UACGUAGGUGGCAAGCGUUGUCCGGAUUUACUGGGCGUAAAGGGCGUGCAGGCGGUUUGUUAAGUCUAGGGUGAAAGCUCCCGGCUCAACUGGGAGAGGUCCUUGGAUACUGGCAGACUUGAGGAGAGUAGAGGAGAGUGGAAUUCCCGGUGUAGUGGUGAUAUGCGUAGAUAUCUGGAGGAACACCGGUGGCGAAGGCGGCAUCCUGGACCAAUAUUGACGCUGAGGAGCGAAAGCCAGGGGAGCAAACGGG
rnacentral:rRNA from 1 species